UAGUGGUCUGGUCAGAACAACUACUCAACUGUUCUUGUUAACAAGUUUUUGAUAUUUAAAAAUCGGUUGGAGGUCAUUAACCACCGCAGAAGUCUUUGUCAUGGUGCCCCUUUCCUAGCCAAACCCCCACAAUGCCCUCUGCUUUAACAUGAACUGCAGUCUGAGUGAUGCCUCCUCUGGUCACUACAGGAUUAAAAAGGAAGAGGCUCCACCUGGUGGAACAACCAGGAACUCCAGCUGAUCUGCAUUUGUUGAUUUUGAUGAAUUAUGGUUCAUCUUGGACAAUUACGGAGUAAUUUUGAUGAAUCAUAGUUCAUUUUAGACAGUUUUUGAUCAAUUUGGACAAACUUAAGUUAAUUUAGGAAAAAUCUCGUUUUUAUUUUAAGAAUCUAGGUUCAUUUUGGACAACUCUUUGGACAACUAUUGAGUAAUUUUGAAGGAUGCAUGACUUCUUUUUCCUCAUCACAUAUAUUUUACCUGAUCUGUUAAUCGACACCGGCUCCACUCUGGAUCGGUGAACUAGGAGCCGUAAACAGCGGGGCAGUCGUUCCUUGUCUCAGGUUUUUUUUAUUGUUUACAACAAGGCUACAUCACAGAUGAUGUCAUGGUGUCAGUCUCUCCGCCUCAUUACCCAGAGUUCACUCUGUCUCACUUUGUGGAAAAACAACUAAAAUUCAACCAAAGUUAAAAAGGUCAAAGGUGACGUCAAAUCCUCCAGCAUCUCGCCUCUUCAGGCAGCCGCUCCGCCAAGAGCAUCAUGGGAAAUCAUCUGGCUCCUUUUAUGGCACGGACAUAAAACAUCACGACCAAAAGUCCCGAAAAUAAAUCUUCUCUUAAAAACUGCUGACCAGGUGCGUCCUCUGAUUUGUCGUUUCCGUAGAAGCAGCAGGACUGAUCCUCGCCAGGUGAACUCCUCCCUGUCCCGACCCCGCCUGCCCGCUGGGCCCGACCCCGCCCACCAAACACCUGCUACAGGUGAGGUGAGGUAAGGUCAGGUGAGGUGGGGGGUUGGACUCAGUCCGUCCAAUCAGUCCCUCAGAGCGAUUCGUCCUGAUUCACAUUCAAAGUCCCUCAAUCUUCAUCUUCAUCCCUUUGGAUCCUCGUCUGCCGUCACCUCUGAAUGUUGGUCAACAAAAGAUUUAACCU
ensembl:lncRNA